GGCGCAAGCCUGAUGGAGCAACACCGCGUGAGUGAAGAAGGGUUUCGGCUCGUAAAGCUCUGUUGUUGGAGAAGAACGUGCGUGAGAGUAACUGUUCACGCAGUGACGGUAUCCAACCAGAAAGUCACGGCUAACUACGUGCCAGCAGCCGCGGUAAUACGUAGGUGGCAAGCGUUAUCCGGAUUUAUUGGGCGUAAAGCGAGCGCAGGCGGUUGCUUAGGUCUGAUGUGAAAGCCUUCGGCUUAACCGAAGAAGUGCAUCGGAAACCGGGCGACUUGAGUGCAGAAGAGGACAGUGGAACUCCAUGUGUAGCGGUGGAAUGCGUAGAUAUAUGGAAGAACACCAGUGGCGAAGGCGGCUGUCUGGUCUGCAACUGACGCUGAGGCUCGAAAGCAUGGGUAGCGAACAGGAUUAGAUACCCUGGUAGUCCAUGCCGUAAACGAUGAGUGCUAGGUGUUGGAGGGUUUCCGCCCUUCAGUGCCGGAGCUAACGCAUUAAGCACUCCGCCUGGGGAGUACGACCGCAAGGUUGAAACUCAAAGGAAUUGACGGGGGCCCGCACAAGCGGUGGAGCAUGUGGUUUAAUUCGAAGCUACGCGAAGAACCUUGCCAGGUCUUGACAUCUUGCGCUAACCUAAGAGAUUAGGCGUUCCCUUCGGGGACGCAAUGACAGGUGGUGCAUGGUCGUCGUCAGCUCGUGUCGUGAGAUGUUGGGUUAAGU
rnacentral:rRNA from 2 species